GACACCACUGAGUGACCCCAACAGUGUGACACCAAUGUGUCCCCAAUGCAGUGACACCACUGAGUGACCCCAACAGUGCGACACCAAUGUGUCCCCAGCAGUGACACCAAUGUGUCCCCAAUGCAGUGACACCGCUGAGUGACCCCAACAGUGUGACACCAAUGUGUCCCCAAUGCAGUGACACCACUGAGUGACCCCAACAGUGCGACACCAAUGUGUCCCCAGCAGUGACACCAAUUGUCCCCAAUGCAGUGACACCAAUGUGUGUCCCCAACAGUGCGACACCAAUGUGUCCCCAACAGUGUGACACCACUGAGUGACCCCAACAGUGACACCAUUGUGUCCCCAAUGCAGUGCCACCGAGUGACCCCAACAGUGUGACACCACUGAGUGUCCCCAGUGCAAUGAUAUCACUGAGUGACCCCAACAGUGUGACACCGAUUGUCCCCAAUGCAAUGACACCAAUGUGUGUCCCCAGCAGUGACACCAAUGUGUCCCCAAUGCAGUGACACCGCUGAGUGACCCCAACACAGUGACACCAAUGUGUCCCCAAUGCAGUGACACCGCUGAGUGACCCCAACAGUGUGACACCAAUGUGUCCCCAAUGCAAUGACACCAAUGUGUGUCCCCAUGCAGUGACACCAAUGUGUCCCCAACAGUGUGACACCACUGAGUGUCCCCAAUGCAGUGACACCGCUGAGUGUCCCCAACCCGCGGUGACGCUGAGCUCCGUCCCCUCCAACGCAGCCGUGCUGUGACCCCACAGUUCUGACCCCCAGCAUCCCCUCCAACGCCCCCAUCCCAUCACUCCGCGCCCCUUUAGGUCCCCUCCGGCCCCACAUGCUGUGCUCCCUUUGCUCUGACCCAUAGGAUCCCUCCCACCCCACCACUCCAUGGUCCUUUAUGUCCCCUCGAACCCAACCACGAUAUGACCCCAUUGCUUUAUGACCUAUAGGAUCCCUUCCAAUCCCCCCAUUCCGUGAUCUUUGAGGUCCCUCCCAACCCCACCAUGCUGUGAUCCCAUUGCUCCACAACCUAUAGGAUCCCUUCCAACACCGCCUCUUCCAUGAUCCUUUAUGUCUCCUCCAACCCCCCCAUGCUAUGAUCCUACAGCUCUAUGGUCAUUGAGGUCCCACCAACCCCCCCAUGCAGUGAUCCCAUUGCUCCACAACCUAUAGGAUCCCUUCCAACACCCCUUAUUCCAUGACUCCAUGAUCCUUUGUCUCCUCCAACCCCCCCAUGCUGUGAUCCCAUCACUCUGUGGUCACUGAGGUCCCAUCAACCCCACUAAGCUGUGAUCCCAUUGCUCCACGACCUAUAGGAUCCCUUCCAACGCCCCCACUUCCACGAUCCUUUAUGUCUCCUCCAACCCCCCCAUGCCGUGAUCCUAUAGCUCUAUGGUCACUAAGGUCCCACCAACCCCCCCAUGCUGUGAUCCCAUCGCUCUGUGGUCAUUGAGGUCCCAUCAACUCCCCCGUGCCGUGAUCCUAUUGCUCCAUGGCCUAUAGGAUCCCUUCCAACGCCCCCUAUUCCAUGAUUCUGUGAUCCUUUACAUCUCCUCCAACCCCCCCAUGCCAUGAUCCCAUUGCUCUGUGGUCAUUGAGAUCCCAUCAACCCCCCCAUGCAGUGAUCCCAUUGCUCCACAACCUAUAGGAUCCCUUCCAACACC
rnacentral:lncRNA from 1 species